CCUACGGGAGGCAGCAGUGAGGAAUAUUGGUCAAUGGACGAGAGUCUGAACCAGCCAAGUAGCGUGAAGGAUGACUGCCCUAUGGGUUGUAAACUUCUUUUAUAUGGGAAUAAAAUGUUCCACGUGUGGGAUUUUGUAUGUACCAUAUGAAUAAGGAUCGGCUAACUCCGUGCCAGCAGCCGCGGUAAUACGGAGGAUCCGAGCGUUAUCCGGAUUUAUUGGGUUUAAAGGGAGCGUAGGUGGAUUGUUAAGUCAGUUGUGAAAGUUUGCGGCUCAACCGUAAAAUUGCAGUUGAAACUGGCAGUCGUGAGUACAGUAGAGGUGGGCGGAAUUCGUGGUGUAGCGGUGAAAUGCUUAGAUAUCGCGAAGAACUCCGAUUGCGAAGGCAGCUCACUGGACUGCAACUGACACUGAGGCUCGAAAGUGUGGGUAUCAAACAGGAUUAGAUACCCCAGUAGUC
rnacentral:rRNA from 1 species